GGAUGAACGCUAGCUACAGGCUUAACACAUGCAAGUCGAGGGGCAGCAUGUAGUUGCUUGCAACCUAUGAUGGCGACCGGCGCACGGGUGCGUAACGCGUAUCCAACUUCCCCGCAGUAGGGUGCAGCCCGUUGAAAGACGGAUUUAAUCCCCUAUGUUGUCCAUUGACGGCAUCCGAUUUGGACGAAAGAUUUCAUCGCUGCGGGAUGGGGAUGCGUAGGAUUAGGUAGUCGGCGGGUAACGGCCCACCGAGCCUUCGAUCCUUAGGGGUUCUGAGAGGAAGGUCCCCCACACUGGAACUGAGACACGGUCCAGACUCCUACGGGAGGCAGCAGUGAGGAAUAUUGGUCAAUGGAGGCAACUCUGAACCAGCCAAGUAGCGUGCAGGACGACGGCCCUACGGGUUGUAAACUGCUUUUAUGCGGGGAUAAACGGCAUUACGUGUAGUGCUUUGCAGGUACCUCAUGAAUAAGCCACGGCUAACUACGUGCC
rnacentral:rRNA from 1 species